UUGUCGCGACCGCGUUGCACCCGGUGCAC
rnacentral:sRNA from 1 species